AAAACACCUGUGAAAACCAGGUUAUUUCGA
rnacentral:tRNA from 1 species